rnacentral:rRNA from 1 species
AUCAGCUUGUUGGUGGGGUGAUGGCCUACCAAGGCGACGACGGGUAGCCGGCCUGAGAGGGCGACCGGCCACACUGGGACUGAGACACUGCCCAGACUCCUACGGGAGGCAGCAGUGGGGAAUAUUGCACAAUGGGCGAAAGCCUGAUGCAGCGACGCCGCGUGAGGGAUGACGGCCUUCGGGUUGUACCCCUCUUUCAGCAGGGAAGAAGCGAAAGUGACGGUACCUGCAGAAGAAGCGCCGGCUAACUACGUGCCAGCAGCCGCGGUAAUACGUAGGGCGCUAGCGUUGUCCGGAAUUAUUGGGCGUAAAGAGCUCGUAGGCGGCUUGUCACGUCGGAUGUGAAAGCCCGGGGCUUAACCCCGGGUCUGCAUUCGAUACGGGCAGGCUAGAGUGUGGUAGGGGAGAUCGGAAUUCCUGGUGUAGCGGUGAAAUGCGCAGAUAUCAGGAGGAACACCGGUGGCGAAGGCGGAUCUCUGGGCCAUUACUGACGCUGAGGAGCGAAAGCGUGGGGGAGCGAAC